rnacentral:rRNA from 1 species
UUGAAAAGAGAGUUAAACAGCACGUGAAAUUGUUGAAAGGGAAGCGUUUGCGACCAGACUCGCCCGCGGGGUUCAGCCGGCAUUCGUGCCGGUGUACUUCCCCGUGGGCGGGCCAGCGUCGGUUUGGGCGGCCGGUCAAAGGCCCUCGGAAUGUAUCACCUCUCGGGGUGUCUUAUAGCCGAGGGUGCAAUGCGGCCUGCCUGGACCGAGGAACGCGCUUCGGCUCGGACGCUGGCGUAAUGGUCGUAAAUGACCCGUCUUGAAACACGGACCAAGACGCGGGGUCUUUUACGACUAUUCCCCCGCGCCGGACC